rnacentral:rRNA from 1 species
GACGAACGCUGGCGGCGUGCUUAACACAUGCAAGUCGAACGGAGCGCCAUGGAAUGAGGUUUCGGCCAAAGGAAAUGGUUGCUUAGUGGCGGACUGGUGAGUAACGCGUGAGUAACCUGCCUUUGAGAGGGGAAUAACAAUCUGAAAAGAUUGCUAAUACCGCAUAACAUAUAUGAAUCGCAUGGUUUGUAUAUCAAAGAUUUUAUCGCUCAGAGAUGGACUCGCGUCCGAUUAGUUAGUUGGUGAGGUAACGGCUCACCAAGACCGCGAUCGGUAGCCGGACUGAGAGGUUGAACGGCCACAUUGGGACUGAGACACGGCCCAGACUCCUACGGGAGGCAGCAGUGGGGGAUAUUGCGCAAUGGGGGCAACCCUGACGCAGCAACGCCGCGUGAAGGAUGAAGGUUUUCGGAUUGUAAACUUCUUUUAUUAAGGACGAAAUUUGACGGUACUUAAUGAAUAAGCUCCGGCUAACUACGUG